GACGUAGGGGGCUAGCGUUGUCCGGAUUUACUGGGCGUAAAGCGCGCGUAGGCGGUCCGUUAAGUGUAGAGUGAAAGCUCCGGGCUCAACCCGGAAACCGCUCUGCAUACUGGCGGGCUGGAGGGACGCAGAGGUCUGUGGAAUUCCUGGUGUAACGGUGAAAUGUGUAGAGAUCGGGAGGAACACCGGUGGCGAAGGCGGGUCUCUGGGCAAUUCCUGACGCUGAGGCGCGAAAGCGUGGGGAGCAAACGGG
rnacentral:rRNA from 1 species